CCUACGGGAUGCAGCAGUGAGGAAUAUUGGUCAAUGGACGAGAGUCUGAACCAGCCAAGUAGCGUGAAGGAUGACUGCCCUAUGGGUUGUAAACUUCUUUUAUACAGGAAUAAAACGAGGCACGUGUGCCUUUUUGCAUGUACUUUAUGAAUAAGGAUCGGCUAACUCCGUGCCAGCAGCCGCGGUAAUACGGAGGAUCCGAGCGUUAUCCGGAUUUAUUGGGUUUAAAGGGAGCGUAGAUGGGUUGUUAAGUCAGUUGUGAAAGUUUGCGGCUCAACCGUAAAAUUGCAAUUGAUACUGGCAGUCUUGAGUACAGUUGAGGUAGGCGGAAUGCGUGGUGUAGCGGUGAAAUGCUUAGAUAUCACGAAGAACCCCGAUUGCGAAGGCAGCUUACUAAACUGUGACUGACAUUGAUGCUCGAAAGUGUGGGUAGCAAACAGGAUUAGAUACCCCUGUAGUC
rnacentral:rRNA from 1 species